rnacentral:tRNA from 1 species
GUCCUGGGGCGGGAAUCGAACCCACAACCUUCUGCUUACCGGGCAGGUGCCAUGGCCAUGUCCACUAGGCUACCCUGGA